AGAAUAUCAUAGUCAAGCCAUAUGAUACAACGAACGUAAUCUAAAUGUUAUCAAAAAAACUGUGUACCUACCUUCUUCCAUAUAGUAUCAAUGGAUGACAAGCUUCUUCAAAACUUUUCUUCAAGCGAUUGGGAUUGAUUUGGAGAAGUAGAAAUGACAGAAGUACCGAUAAAAGAGUGCAAACAAGAAAUAGCCUUUGAGAACAUGAACAAUCUCACACUCAUUCAGAAAUUUUACUAUGGUGAAAGUAUAUUCAUGAUCAAAUGAACAGGAUUUAUUGGAAAAUUCUUGAUCGAGAAAUCAUUGAGAACAGAUCCUGAUACAAGUCACAUUUAUCUUUUAAUACUUCCAAAAAAAGAGGAGAAUGAUUUAACACAGUGAACUGAUUGAAAAUUUACUUGACUUGGCUUUAUUUGAUCAAAAAUGUCCGUCUAAUAUAGCCGAAAUUUGCGAAAUGUCGAGACGAAAGAUGCGAACUUCGAUUUUAAUUUCGUACGUAUUUAUACGAGUACCUAUACGUAAUUUUUUUUUCAAACGAAACUUCUCUAAUGCGAUUAAGCUUCCAAGUAAAACAAAAAUGAAAUGAAAGAAAAAAGUAAAUAUGAAAAAGUAUAGUGUAAAUAAGAUGAGAGAAAGUAAGAUAGAGAGAAGUAGCAAAUCAAUAAAUAUUUUGAUUAGUAUUUGUAAUAAAAUAUCAUAAUAAAAUAUAUAAUAAAUAAUCAAAUAUUAUGUUCGUAUUGCGUCGAGAUUUAUUGUAAAUGUUCAUCUACCUAUUUAACAUAAUAAUAAAUUAUUACAUUUACAAUUAUUUUAAUUAAAAUUCUUAUAGUUUUUGUAUUAAUCUGACCGUUUAAUACUGACCACUCAUAUUACGUAUUGAUAAUUUAUCAUUAACGAUGAUCAUUAAUUUAUUUAUAUUACCGAUUAAAAAUAUUGAGAAAUAUUGACCUAAUAAAUAGAAACUUUUAACUAAAUUAAUUUAAUCGAAAAAACUUCGUUUUUAUCGUGUGAUACACACAAUCGGUUGUAUUUUUUUUUCUUUUUUUAAAUGAAUACGCGUCUCAUUUUGUAAUAAUCUUCAUUUCGUUCUAGAAAUAUCAUAUAUUCCGUUUAAAUCGAAAAUGAUAUAAUAUCAUAGGUGAAUUCUUUUGGUAAUAUUAUUUAACGUGAAACCACAAGAUACUGAUACGAGCGAUGACUAAUAGCAUAAAUACUUGUAUAUAUCCUUGUCGCAUUAUUUGUGUCCUCAGAUAUAUCUGUAAGAAGAAUAGUUGUUUUGUGUAAAAAAAAAUAUUGGAAAUAUAGAGAGGUCAUAGAAAGUUACUUACCGAACGAAUGAUUAUCCAAAAUUUCAUUUAAUUCUUCGCAGCAACAAGAAGUACAUUGUUCUCAGGCUAUUAAAAUUGAUAGCUUAUAGUUUAGUUAUAAAUUAUUCGAUUAAGUUAGAACGUCGUACGUCGAAUUUGUGAUGUGCCAGAUACUUGGUAGGACAGAGAAGGAUGAUAUUGUACGAGAAUGUAUCUACGAUUAAAAUUUGUUCGAAACUUUGAAAUAUACCAUUCAUGCGUUAUUAAUGGCUGAACUAGCUUCAUAUAAUUUUGUGUGUAACAAAAGAAAAAAUCCUUUGCUUUUGAUUUCUGAAGAAAAAAAAAAGGAAGGCUACGCUACAUGAAAAGGAUAUCUCAUCAACAUAUACUAAAAAUACAGAAUAAGUUUAAAACGUUCGAAGUAUUGUCUCUUAUGAGGGAUGAAAUCGACUAGAAAUAUAUCUUUAACUUAAGUUGAUUGACAAUUCGUUGGAAGAUUAUAAGCCUCAAGAAAGAAAAAGAUAACGAAGGAAUAAUUACAUUAUUCCAAGAGAUUAUGAAGUUAAAGUAAUUAACUUAUGUAACCAGAGAAUGGUCAUGGUUGCAUGGAUUUCAAUAAUCUUCUGAGAAGGACAAAAAUAAAAUGGAGUAUUCCAUGAGAAUUAUGGAAGAAAAGAAUCAUGGAGAAUUUAUGGAAGAUUUGGCAUUAUGUAUAGAACGUAUUAAAAAUGACAAAUGGAUUACAUUAUCCAACCAAUAAUUGAUAGUUCCUAUGUUAGAAUUGAGAAUACUCGAUCAUAUUAUUAACAAGUAAAAGACAGGAAACUUUCGGCAAUAUUCUUUGUCUGUUGUAAGUCAAUUUCAAAAUUUUAAUUUAACAAUUCUUCGCUUUAUCGAUAUAGUUUCCAACUAUUCGAAUGAAAACGUCGAAUACAUCAAGAAAAAAAAAUUAACAAAACACGUAUUCCAAAUAACGAGGACGAGUGAAACGUUGAUUUGUGAGAGAAAUUCUCCGAUCAAAAUUCAUGCUCUUGUAUCUUAAGAAAAUUCGUUGGCUUGUGUGAGAAAUUUUCAAAUCAAAAUUCUAUAAAUAGUACAUCUUAUUUCAACUUUAUCAUUGAUAAAUGUAUUUGAAAGGUUUACGAAUAUUGAACAGAUAUU